UCAUACCACUAGACCAAAUGCCCUUGAUACCAUAAUCGUCCUAACAUUAUAUUCAGAUGAACACUUGGGAUCAUCGCUGCCAUGCGGCCCCGGUUCCUGCCCCGUCGACUUCAAUCCCCACCUCAUUCCUCUCCUCACGUCUCGCCGCCGCCUCGUCUCCUCCUCCUCGUCCGCCUCAACGCGCCUCGACCUACUUCGUCCACCGAAUGCUCGUACGGCUGCGGCAGUUAGGGACGUCGUUGUCUUUGCACGGCCUCUCAAAUCCCUGGAUCUUGGGGUGCGGAGCCCUUUUUCGCCAUCCAAGGAAGUUUCUUCGACAGAAACAUGCGGCUCAGGGCGACGGCGAUGACGGCGGCUGCUGCCGUGCGAAGCGCGGCGAGCUUCUUCUGCAGGCAAACCGCCGCGCCUAACUCUGGCAAACGUGGGGAGCGGAGCAGCAUUUCCUGCAGUGAGGUGGAGCAGGGCAUCUCUUCUCAACUUCUCUUGGGAUGGAAGAUGCGGUUGACAUCCAACCCCUAAUGACAGUCGCAGAAGCUCAUCGAUUAUUUAUUUUGUUCUGGAGAAGAACCUCGUCAUUAUUGUUAUCUAGGAGAUGAAGGCCAUUAAGUAUUGUUUGUGCCUUUUCUCCCUGUUGUCGCCUGCCAAGCAGAAUUACGGCACUCAUUACGAUCAUUUUGUGGUGGAUCUUGUCACAGAUGGCCAUGACAUGCCAGGGUAGCUCCAAGAGGUGGACAGUUCGUGACCUGAACUAGGUGGAUGAAACUUGCCUGCACUACUCCCUGAGGUGUUGAGCUCCUUAUCUUGAACCCUACGUGGCCCAGAUUAGCAUUGAACACGUUUUUGGAGGUUUGCGUGUCAACGUUUCUUCUCAUUAACUGCGAUUCUUGCUCACCACCUUAUAGCAGAAAACAACUCUGUAUACUCGUGCAGUCUGUUUUGUCAGGCAUAAUUUAAACAUCACAUAGCAAUACCAAAUAGCAACCUGUCUUCCUGUACUAUCAAGUAGUCGUGCAGACCACAGUUUCCCUACAUUUGGAACAUGUCAAAGGUGCAUUAUUUAGCACUUAGCAACGCGUGCUGUUUUAAACUAAGAUAGACAAGGCAUCAACUUGUCUGAGGCUGUGGUGGCCAUUUGAGUACAUGGGUUCUGCAGAGAUAAAGAUACUUUCUGUCUGUGCCGUAUUCUCAAGUUUCACAUGUAAUUGAGCAACUUUACCUCUGCUACUGAAGGAUCACACCACAGAUUCUUACAGAAACAGGUAUUAGCUUUUAAUAUCUGGAACUUCGCAAGCUAGAACCCGUUGCACUGAGAUUUAUAAGUUAGUUUUUGUAAGUUGCUUAUGUUCUAAGCAAGUAAACGUUGCAGCGGAAGAAUUGAAGCAUCUAUUGAUGAUUAUAAUGCAUGUGUGGUGGAUCAGGCUGCAGCCAGCACUCAUACCAGCACAGCAACAGUGCUGCACGGCAAUUGAGGCGAAGGUGCAGCUGUCAUAAGUUGAGAAGCAAAUUGACAGGCUGUUCGAAGGUUGAUGAAACAAGACAGCGAUGCUCCACGAGGUGUUGAGUUCAUGCUUAUCUAGAUGUUGUUUGGAUCUAUCAUGACUGAGCGUGUUUCUGUAGGUGGAUGAAACUUGCCGGUGGUACUCCAUGAGGUGUCGAGUUCAUGCUUAUCUUGAAGCUGCCUGGCCCAUAUCAGCAUUGAACACGUUUUUGGAGAUAGCAGAGACAUACCAGCAAAGCAACAGUGCUGCAUGGCAAUUGAGGCGAAGGUGCAGCUGACAUCAGUUGAGAACCAAAUUGACAGGCUGUUGGAAGGUUGAUGAAACAAGACAGCGAUGCUCCACGAGGUGUUGAGUUCAUGCUUAUCUAGAUGUUACCUGGACUGAGCAUGUUUCUGUAGAUCUUGUUGCAAGUUGACGAAACAGGACAGCGAUGUUCCAUGAGGUGUUGAGUUCAUGCUUAUCUAGAUGUUACCUGGACUGAGUGUGCUUCUGUGGAUGAAACUUGCCAGUCGUACUCCAUGAGGUUCAUGCUUAUCUUGAAGCUGACUGGCCCAUAUUAGUGUUGAACACGUUUUUGGAGGUUCUGUGUCUCAACUUUUCCUCUCAUGAACUGCGAUUCUUGCCCACCACCUUAUAGCAGAAAACAACUCUGGGUACUCGUGCAGUCCAUUUUGCCGGGGCAUAAUUGAAACAUGACAGAUUGGCAAUACAAUAUAGCAACUUGUCUUCCUGUAGUAUUUAGCAACGCGUGCUGUUUUAAACUAAGAUAGACAAAGGUACCAACUUGGCUGAGGCUGUGGUGGCCAUGUGAGUACAUGGGAUCUGCAGAGAUAGAGAUACUUUCUGUCUGUAUAUCAAUCCGUUGUGCCUUAUUCUCAAAUUUCUCAUGCAAUUGGCCCAAAUUGCGCACCUCUACUUCUGCUACUGAAGGAUAACACAACAUAUUUCUUACAGAAGCAGAAUAUCUAGAAUUUUGCAAGCUAGAAUCCAUUCCAGUGACGUUUAUGAGUUAGUUUUCGUUUAUGUUCUAAACGAGUAAAUGUUGCAUGAGAAGAAGUGAAGCAUCUAUUGAUGAUUAUAAUACAUGUGUGGUGGAUCAUGCCACAGGUAGCAGAGACAUACCAGCACAGCAACAGUGCUUCACGGAAAUUGGGGCGAAGGUGCGACUAUCGGAACCAAAUUAACAGACUGUUGGAAGGUGAAGUCUUCUAGUCCUUCAACAUACACCUCAGCUGCAUGACUUGCAUUCUAGUUUAUUUUGUCUCUGUUUGGUGAUCUGGAUUCUGUCUUAAGCAUUGUGCUGAUGCUUUGCUGCCAAUUGUUAAAACAUGGCAUGCACUUAAUGAUUCUUGUCUCCUAACAAGAUUGCAUUGGACAGAGAUGGUUAUGCACAAUAUUCUUGCUGCUUAACUGGCUUUGCCAGCAAGACUGUUUUUGUUUCUUGACUAUAAAUAGAGUCCACCACAAUGGUUGAGCACCAAGAAAGCACACCUGCCCUUCACUUCCUCUUCCACUACAAACAGAAACACAUCAUCAGCUCAUCCAUUACAAACAUGGCUUGCCAUCAAAGAUCUGCAAGUUUGCCUUCUAUCGCCCACUCCAGUGAAUCCACAGUGGAGGUGGAGCUGCAGGGCCUGGAGUCAUGCAUCUCUUCACCCUCCGCAACCAUCGACACGAUGUGUGAUGGUUACGCAAGGCUUGGAGACAUCUACAACUGCAUAGAGGAGAUCAUGGGCUUGCCCAGCAACCAAGUUGGCCUCUCCUUCCCCCAAAACAAGAAAAUGGUGGAAGAGGAACUGGAGCGAUCCCUCGUGCUGAUUGAUCUUUGCAAUUCCAUGCAAGAGAAUUAAGCAGAGCUGAAGAUGAGUACCCAGGAGCUGCAACUGGUUCUCAAAAGAGGAGAUGAUGCGGCUGUUCAACUCAAGGUUGAGUCCUUCAUUCGCCUGGCGAAGCAGGCUCAGAAGCCUUUCAAGAAGAUCACAAGCAGCAAAGCUAGUGGUGAGGAUUGCAGGCUGGUCAGGCUACUGGCGGAAGCCAGAGAGAUGUCUGUCUCUCUACUCGAGUCCAUGUCGCAGCUGUUGCCGAAGCAGUUCGCCACCACCAAAGGAAGCAAAUGGUCUCUUGUCCAGAAGAGAAAGGUCGUUUGCGAGGAGGAACAGUUGCAAACGCUAGAGCGAAGCAUGGGAGAUCUUGAGAACGGUGCGGAGCUUCUGUUCAGGAGACUGAUCCAAAGCAGGGUUUCCCUCCUGAACAUUCUCAGCUCGUAGACACCCCCAGGCCUUGUUUCUCUAGCAUAUUGCGAUUGGCAUCCGCCUUUUAAAGGAUUCACCAGUCAUAUAGAACCUUCCUAGCUUGUGUACAGAGCACAGUGCCAAAUGUACGUGCAAAUGAUCAGUUGAUGAAAACAGUUUUGACUAUGUUCAUACCAUCACUUGUGACUUCGCUCACAUUGAUAUUUACUGGGCAGUGAUUCUGAUUACUUUUCAUAGCUGAGUGUACGUGAAGAUUAAAUUCAGAAUUUCGGAGGGAGCUGUAUGUGUAGUAAUUUCUAGCUGUAACUGUAAGUUCUACACAUGUACAAUUUUAUUCGAUCUUAUCUUUGAAAUGGCCAUGUUAGGUCACAGCAAUUACAGUUUACAACUGGCGCCACCAUCUUUUACCUGCAGUACUCUUAAGAACCAUGGACAUGCCAGCUCUAAGCCAUGUGGUAGCCGCUCAUCAUUAGCCUGAUGGCUAGCACAAGGCUGAUGAAACAAUACAGCGAUGCUCCACGAGGUGUUGAGUUCAUGCUCAUCUAGAUGUUGCCUGGACCGUAUCAUGACCGAUCAUGUUUCUGUAGGUAAAGUCAGCUCUUCCCUAUCUCUUAACAACUUGUUUUUUGAAUUAAAACUCUUAGCAUAUUAGGUGCACCAGCCAUAUGAGAUGCAAUCUGAUGUAUGUAUCCUAUGCUUUCAUGAAUCUUUCUCCCUCGUGCUAUGGCCAAGUCUGAACUUGUACACCCGUGCAUUCUAUUUCUUUUUCUCGAAUAACCGAAACAUGACAGAUAGGCAAUACUAAUUAAAUACAUACAUACAUGUAUCUCAUUAUCCUAUAUUAUGAAGUACUCCUGAAGAUUGCGCGUACUAUCAGGUUAAACCAGCAACCUGCAGUAAGCGAUAGACCGGUAAUUUAUCCUGUCAAACUUGUUCUAUAUAUUCUCUUCUCAGUGAAAAUGGGCGCAGUCAGUGUCACUGUGUGUGUUUAAGACAGAAUAUUUUUUAUUACUCCUUCUGUAAAGGGAGUACUUUCUACGUUACCGCACCUAGAUUCAUGGCCUUCUAUAGUUCCCAUGUUAAGAUCUGCUGAGCUGAUGCCCUUGUUAUGUUUUCCAAUAUUGAAAUACUAUGGCAUUUAUGAAAUACAGAAUUAUAGCUAUUCUAGUUUGAUUCGAAUUUGGCCAUGAUAUAAAGAUUUGAAGCGUCUGUUAAGAAUUCUGGUGCAUGUGUGGUGGACCAUGAUGCAAUUAGCAGAGACAUGCCAAGAAGGCAACAGUUCUGCACGAGGGUUGAGGUGCGGGUGCAACCAUCACACGUUGACAACCAAAUCGCCAGAAGGUUUAUGAAACAAGACAGCAAUUCUCCACGAGGUGUUGAGUUCAUGCUCAUCUAGAUGUGGCCUGGACAGUAUCAUGACCGAGCGUGUUUCUGUAGGUAAAGUCAGCUCUUCCCCCUCUCUUAACAACUUGUUUUCUCAAUAAAGCUGUUAGCAUAUUAGGUGCACUAGCCAUAUGAGAUAUAAUCUGAUGCAUCCUAUGCUUCCAUGAAUCUUUCUCCCUCGUGCAUUUUAUUUCUUUUUCUUGAAUAACCGAAACAUGACAAAUAGGCAAUACCAAUUACAUGCAUACAUGUAUCUCAUUAUCAUAUUAUUAUGAAGUACUACUCGUGGGGUUGUAACAGUUGUUGGAGCUCAGCGAUAGAGCGCUAAUUUAUCCAAUCAAACUUGUUAUAUAUUCUCUUCUCAGUGAAAAUAGGGUGCAGUCAGAGUCCAUGUCAAGAUCCCAUGUUAUUACUUUCUACAUUACUGCACCUAGAUUCAUGGCCUUCCAUAGUUCCCAAGAGCCAAGAUCCGAUGAGCUCGUGCUCCUGUUAUGUUUUCCAGUGCUCCCUUCGAACUAGAGUAACAUAUCUUAUGAGAGCUAUUUCAUAAAUGUCAUAUUUUAGUCUACUAAGAAUUAUAGCGCAUGUGUGGUGGACCAUGAUGCAAUUAGCAGACAUGCCAAGAAGGCAACAGUGCUGCUGCACGAGGGUUGAGGUGCGGGUGCAACCAUCACACGUUGACAACCAAAUUGCCAGAAGGUAUUUCGCCAAUCUGGAUGAUGAGACGAACCACUCGUGCGGAUACUUUGCCAUCUAUAGACGAGACAUGUACACGCUCUGCAUCUCACUCAUUGAUGUCAGUUGCACUAACCAAAAUAAGAGAGCAUCAGUUUCGCCUUGGCGGCAGAUGAUUAAGCUGCAGCGGAGAACUUGCUCCGUUACCAAUUCCUUUUGGUUCUCGACUAUAAAUAGAGCGCGCUGCAAAGGUCUCAGCACCAACAAAGCACAUAUGCUCUUCACUUUCUCUUCCAUCAUUACAAACAGAAACAACACAUCAUCAGCUCAGUUCAUCCAUUAGAAACAUGGCCUGCCAUCAAAGAUCUGCGAGUCUGCCUUUCAUCCCCCACUCCACCGAAUCCAAAGUGGAGGUGGAGCUGCAGGGCCUGCAGACAUGCAUCUCCUCGCCUUCCGCGACCAUCGGCACGAUGUGCAGCGGUCUGAGGAGGCUCGGAGACAUCUACAGCUCCGUAGAAGAGAUCAUGAGCCUGCCCAGCAACCAAAUCGGCCUCUCCCUGCCCCUGCAGAGGAAGAUGGUCGAGGAGGAGCUUGACAGGUCACUUGUCCUGGUGGAUCUCUGCAAUGCCAUGCAGGAGAGCCUGGCAGAGCUGAAGGCGAGCAUCCAGGACCUGCAGCUCGCCCUCAAGAGGGGAGAUGCCGCGGCUGUUCAGCUCAAGAUCGAGUCCUUCGUUCGCCUCGCGAAGAAGGCGCAGAAGCCUUUCAAGAAGAUCACAAGCGGCAAGGCUACCGCCCAAGGCUGCGGGACGGUCAGGCUACUGGCAGAAGCAAGAGGCAUGGCGGUCUCUCUGCUUGAAUCCGCGUCGCCCCUCCUACUGAAGCAAAUUGGGGUUGCCAGUGGAAGCAGAUGGUCGCUGGUCUCACAGAGGUUCCAGAAGAAGAGGGUUGUCUGCGAGGCGAACGGCGUGGCGGGUCUCGAGAACGGCGUUGAGUCCCUGUUCAGGAGGCUGAUCCAGAGCAGGGUUUCACUCCUGAACAUCCUUAGCUCCUAGAUGCUUCUCAACCCUCAAGCCUUGUUACUCCACACAUCUUCUGUACAUUAUACCGAACAUACAUAAUCGAAUGAUGAUUACACAGUUUUGAUCAUGUAUUUUGUGAACUGAUCAGUUCUAUCCAUGUUUCUUUUUUUUUUUUUACGUUGCCUCCACCGUGGAUAUGUGAUGGAUACAGUGGAAAACAAGAAGAAAAAAAGUGCAUCUAUUAUCUUUAGGCUUCACCCAAGUUAACUGAAACUUACUAUUUUACUAUUUUCCUUCUACACGGUGAUCGUCUUACCCAGGUUAACUCACAUUGGCACGUAGGAGUAAUCUUCAUGUGAUUGAUCUUGCUGCUUGAGCUUGGGUUCAUGUGGAACUGCAAUUUCCCAGCAACUUCAAAUAAAAUGGAACUGCAAUUGUCAUUGUGAAUUUUCAACGGUUCAUGUGGUUACUUCACGAAGGUUACUCAACAGUUCAAUGUGGCAAG